CAGCCGCCGCGGGAAUACAGAGGGUGCGAGCGUUAAUCGGAUUUACUGGGCGUAAAGCGUGCGUAGGCGGCUUUUUAAGUCGGAUGUGAAAUCCCUGAGCUUAACUUAGGAAUUGCAUUCGAUACUGGGAAGCUAGAGUAUGGGAGAGGAUGGUAGAAUUCCAGGUGUAGCGGUGAAAUGCGUAGAGAUCUGGAGGAAUACCGAUGGCGAAGGCAGCCAUCUGGCCUAAUACUGACGCUGAGGUACGAAAGCAUGGGGAGCAAACAGGAUUAGAUACCCCCGUAGUCCCUGUCUCUUAUAU
rnacentral:rRNA from 1 species